GUUAUCUUUUUGAGGGAUGUUAGCUAGAUGAGGAGCCACGUACUAUUAAAGGCAAUUGCUUCAUUGUUUUACACAAGCAAGCUUUGUUCUGCAUUGAGGAGGAUGGAAUAUUGUGUUAAGACAAGUUGGAAGUAAAUUUACUGGAUUCUGGUUGUGUGUGUGUCUGUGUUUGAGACCUGAUAUGAAUAAGAAGAAGAAAUUUACUUUACCUCUGCCACAGAGGUCGAUAUCCAUUGAGAUUAACAACAAUUAUGACUAUUCCAGUCCAGAUAAAGGCGGUGUGGUGGCCAGACCUAAGCAGGUAGACCCUGUGGACUAUGAGACGUACAUUGCCAAGAACAAGAGCAUCCUCCACAAUGAUCCACAGAGAGAGAUGCUCACAUUCCCCUACGAUGACAUCGUCAUUCCGCCCCCAAAUCCACCCAAGAAGAUGCGUACCCUAUACUCCACCGUUCCUGAUUCGGCAUUAGACGAGGCCAAAGAUCUGCUGGUUCGACAGUGCAUCAAGUCGUACACAGACACUUGUCAUGUUGUCAAGUAUAAGUACAAUGCCUAUGCUGGGAGAUAUGAGAAACUUCCAAACAUUAGGCAAACUGACCCCCUACCCCACCACACAUUUGAGAUUGAUGCUGAACCUGAGGAUAAAGGAGAUGAGGACACCAGAAGUUUGACAGCUAGUAUUCAGAAGACAGGAUGGCUGUACAAAGGUCCUGAUGGAGGGAAAGAGAACAUCAUUAGCUUCACAAGGCAAUUCAAGAAGAGGUAUUUUGUGCUGAAACAGGAGUCGGAUUUCACCUUCAGUUUACAAUUCUACAAAGAUGAGAAGAAAACAGAUGCCAAGGGGGCCAUCUUUAUGGACUUGGCUGUGGAGGCAAAGCCAAACUCGAAGAGAGGGAAGCACUGCUUUGAGGUCCACACAAAUGACAGGCCACCUUAUGUGUUCGCCGCGGAGACAGAGGCUGAUAUGAACGACUGGAUCAAAGUGUUGAACAAGGUCAUCAACGCGGCAGAGACCGCCUCCAAUGUCUCCAUGGAGAAGAGCAGAGAUGAAAUGCAUACACCAGACAAAUCUAAUGAAAAGUCUGAAGUCAGCAUGCAUCCCGAAUUAGCAAAGUACAACAGAGAAAGUGAAACCAUGCUCACAAAAGCAAGAGAAGAGGGCAGACAUAACCUGUAUAGAGUUUAUCCCAAUAUUCGGUUUCACUUUGAUGAGGACGAUGAGGAGGAGGGAGGUGGAGAGAGGCCUGAGGAGAUUGAGGUGUUUCCCUCCACACACUGCGACCGCUACAUGAUGAGGCUGGUCGACUUCAAACUCAAAAUGCAGGCCAACUUGGCCGAGGAGGGAUUGGGUCAGAAGUUCACUAAUCCUGAACCUUUCUUUCUAAGUUUUGCAUUGUAUGAUGCCAAGGAAGGAAAGAAGAUUUCAGAGGAUUUUUACAUAGACCCAAAUGAGCUUGAGAUCAAAAAGAUGAUUCCAGAUGAGGUCCUAUGUGCCUCAGACAAGCUCAACACAGUAGAGGGAAAGAACUCUGCCCCACAUCUCUUCAACCUGUCUGAAGAAUGGCUGCUCAAAAAAGACAGACAUGGUGUGUUCUCGGUGACAUCCUGCCAUGCGGAGGUGUACCUGUUUGUGAGGAUAGAGAAGGUCCUACAGGGCUCCCUGUCCCAGGCCUGUGACCAGUACCUCAAGGCUCCCUCCGGAAACAAAAUCUACAAACAGAUGAAGCAGUUCUGUUCACAGAUCGGACAUCACCGCAUGCCAUUCGGAUGGGCAGCUAGACAGCUGAUUAUUGAAUCUAAUGGCCCAGCAGAGAUGAAAAUCUUCAGGCAAGAAGGAUCCAAGUUUUCAGAACAGGAAGUUAUAAAGAUUCUACAAGACUUGAAAAAACCAGAAAAGCAAGGAAAACUUCAAGAGAUUCCAGGAACUCUGAAAGUGAUAAUCCACAAAACAAGCCCAGAGCAGCCUUUACAAAAGUACUACAAAUAUGAUACCUUAACUUCCUCCCUCGUGCCAAUCAAGCCAUUUCCUAUCCCCCCGCCUGACCCCCCAGCAAUAGAGGUGGAGCAGUUUGUCCUAGAUAGAGCCUCAUUUUGUGAUACAUACGACUCUUACAUCAAUCAUCUUUACGUAUAUCCCAUGAACCUUAGAUAUGAGCAUCAAAAAUCAUUCGCCAAAGCUAGAAAUAUAGCAUGUUGUGUAGAGAUUAGAGAUUCCGAUGAUGAAAAUGCCAUUCCAUUGAAGCGUAUCUAUGCCCGUCCAGAAGUAGGUGUGUUUACAACUGUAGCCAGCGCCACUGUCCUCCAUCACAGCACUUCACCCGACUUCUUAGAAGAGGUGAAGAUAGCCCUCCCCACUCAGUUACAUGAUAAGCACCAUAUAUUGUUCCGGUUCUACCACGUUAGUUGUGAAGGCUCAAAGUCUAACCGUAGUUCCACGUCUUCCGUCAAGAAACGAGACAACAUUGAGACUCCGGUCGGGAUCGCCUGGCUCCCACUGCUCACCCAGGGCAGGGUUACAGUGGGAGAGCAGAAUGUCCAGGUGGCAGCUUGCACAGCAUUACCCAAAGACUACCUCUCCACUAAAUCCCCUGACAGGACGGCUCCGGCACCAGAUAUCAAAUGGGUCGAUAAUGGUAAACCAAUAUUUAGGGUCAAAGUUCAGCUACAUUCAACAGUUUACACAAAGGAUCAGCAUUUACACAACUUCUUUUACCAUUGCCAAAAAAUUGAGAAUGCGUUGAUGCCAGGGACAGAUGUGGACAGCUUAAAUAAACUGAAGCUUGACAAGCCUACCCUGGAUUUGGAGAAAACCUUUCUAUCAAAUUCUACUAAGUCCCUCCAUGCUGUGGAUGUGCUGACGUACGUCCAGUUUCUACCCACCCUGUUAAACCAGCUCUUCUCCCUGCUUGUGAAGACAGUCAGCGACGACGUCGCCCUCAAUGUGGUCAAGGUUCUAAUCCACAUUGUGUCGGAGGUUUCUCUUGUUGACAAACAAGAUGCUCUCAAGAGUUAUGUCAAGUAUGUAUUUAGCCCUGAGCCCGUCCCUAAGGGCACCAAGGGGGCCCAGACGGUACACGAGGAGCUAGCCAAGAACCUGACCACCAUCCUACGGCCGGCUAAUGCCGACAACGUGGUGGUCUGUAAGUUCCUGAAGUAUUCCUGGUUCUUCUUUGAGAUCCUGAUCAAGAGCAUGGCUCUCUACCUCAUUAGUACCGACAGGAUCAAGAUGCCAAGGAAUGAGCGGUUUACAGCAGAUUACCAGUACAGAAUACAGAACCUACUACAAACACUGACCCCCAAUAUCAUACAGAAGCAGAGGGAAAUGCCCCGCGAAACCAAGAUAGCCAAUCAGAGCCUAGCCAUGUUUGUAAAGCGCUGUUUUACUCUGAUGGACAGAGGAUUUGUAUUCAAGAAUAUAUCUGCCUAUGUGGAACAGUUUGGACCUGGAGACUCCAAGCCCCUGUAUGAUCUGAAGUUUGAGUUUCUGAGUGAGGUGUGCUCCCACGAACACUACAUCCCCCUCUGUCUCCCCAUCAUGAGGAAAGGCAUGAUCAAGUCCUUCAAAGACAUCAAAUUAGAAGAUCUGAAAUGUGACUACACACUGUCCGAGGAGUUCCGAAAGAACCAUUACCUUGUGGGAUUACUGCUACAGGAGGUUAAGAUGUGUAUGAACGAGCCCAAAGAGGUCCGAAGGCAUGCCAUCCACCUGUUGAGGAACCAGAUCGCCAAACAUUCCUUUGAUGAUCGAUACACUUCCAAGACUCUGCAAGGGAGGAUAGCAGCAUUGUACCUCCCUCUGAUCUCCAUACUGAUGGACCACAAACACCAUUUAGUGGAGGACCCCAGUGCCCCGCCCCCCUCUCAGGCCCCAACCAUAGUGGUGAACGGGGACGUCCAGUCCGUCAAACAGGAGGGUCGGCCCAGGACCCCCCAGAUGAGCCAAAAGUCUGUAACCUUCGAUGCUCCAGCGACACAGAGAGAGUCCAAAGUGUUUGCCAUGAUAGCUGGGCAUGGACCGCCGUUACAAUCCCUGUCAGAAAUGAAGGCUCAGAUGAUGAACGGAUCAGCUGGUUCCCUCUCCCGAACAAACAGCACUUCCUCUGUCGACAAAACAGAAGUUAAAACCAACGAAAAAGUCCAUAGGAGAACUUCUUCCAAUCAGAACAUCAAGGAUUCGGCCUCGGACAUCUCCAGUACCCCGAAGCCGUCAAAGAUCCUGAUGAAGUACCAGAAGCUGGACAUCAUGGAGGUGAAGGAUCUGUUGCUCUGCUUCCUCCACAUCAUCAAGUACCUGCCAGACGAUAUUCUUCUGGGAUGGUUUCACAAUUCAUCAGAAUUUGACAUCAUUGAUUUCUUCAGUAUACUGGAGGUGUGUCUUAAAAAUUUCCAGUACCAAGGAAGGAAGAAAAUUGUUGACCUUAGUGUGAUAGGUGACAGCACCAAAGCCUCUACCAUGCCUAUGAACAGAAGAUCUGUCCCCAGCCUGACCCCCCGGGCUCUAAGUCAGUAUGAGGGCAUGGGAGAACCAGGCCAUAUGUCCACUCCAUCCGAGGGCAAUGCUGUGAUGAAGGCCCUACAGGAGGCCAACAUGUCUACUGAGGUGGGACUGGUGGUUCUAGAUAUCCUGGCCCUCUACACACAGACAUUCAAGCGUAACCUGGAACACAAGGACGGGGACAACAGUUUGAUGAAGAAAGUGUUCAGUCUGUACCUGAACUUCCUCCAGACCAGCCAAUCAGAAUCUCUACAGAAACAUGUGUUUGCCUCAUGGAGGUCUUUCAUUAAAAAGUUUCAACCAGUUUUAUUCAAAGGAAAUGCAUCUCUCUGUGGUGACCUGUGCUAUGAGGUGUUACGAUGCUGUAACUCAAAGUUACAAUCAACCAGGAAAGAAGCUUGUGCUCUUCUUUACCUACUGAUGAGGAACAACUUUGAAUUCACCAAGAAAAAGAACUUUACCAGGGUUCAUUUGCAGGUGAUAAUCUCAGUAUCUCAACUGAUCGGGGGCGUGGUCGAGCUCAGUAACUCGAGAUUCACAGACAGUCUUGCCAUGAUCAACAGUUACGCGGCCAGUGAUAAAGCCAUGCAGCCAUUAAGUCCAUUUGCUAGUCUGGUCGGGGGAGUGUAUAGACAUGACAGAGAGACUCGAGUCAUUUUGAAGGAUUCGGCCUACAAUGGCUUCUGUGCAGAGCGAAGGGGUGAUGGCAAAGGACGCAAAAAGGGCAGUAAAGAGAGAAGUGGCUUCCCCUCUGAGGUCAAAGAUUUGACCAAGAGGAUCCGUACUGUGCUGAUGGCCACAGCUCAGAUGAAGGAGCAUGAGAAUGACCCCGAGAUGUUGAUUGACCUUCAGUACAGCCUGGCUAAGUCCUACGCCACCACUCCCGAGCUCAGGAAGACGUGGCUCGAGUCCAUGGCCAAGAUACACCGCAAAUACGAAAACUUCUCAGAGGAGGCCCAUUGUUUCAUCCACAUAGCUGCAUUAGUUGCUGAAUAUCUGAAGAAACGAGGCAAAUUAAAAUCACGGUGUUUCCCCCAGGGCUGUACAGCCUUUGGUACUAUUACCCCUAACGUGGAAGGGGAUGAAUCCGGAAUCAAGGACGACUCGGGGAUGCAGGAUGUGCAAUAUACAGAGGACACAAUGGUAGAGUACUUAGAGAAAGCCUGCAGGUCCCUCGAGAUGGCGGAGAGAUACGAAGUCCUUGGAGACAUCUAUAAACUUAUCAUUCCUAUUUACGAAUACUCAAGAGAUUUUGAUAAACUGGCCAGUUCUUAUGACAGCUUAUCCAAAGCUUACACAAAGGUUGUGGAUGUAACAGCUUCUGGGAAGAGGCUGUUAGGAAAAUACUUCCGAAUCGCCUUCUUUGGGUCCUCAUACUUUGUUGAAGAAGACGGCAAGGAGUAUAUAUACAAAGAGCCAAAGGUCACGAGUCUGGCCGAGAUUUGUGAGAGACUCAAGAAUAUGUACAGUGAGAAGUACGGCAAAGACACUGUCAAACUCAUCAUGGAUUCCAAUAAGGUAAACCCCGGUGAGCUGGACCAGAAGUUUGCCUACAUCCAGGUGACACACGUCACACCUUACUUCGAGGAGAAGGAACUCCAGAAGAGGAUCACAGAGUUUGAGAGGAACAACAACAUCAAGAGGUUCAUGUUCGAGACUCCGUUCACCAAGGCAGGCAAAGCUCGGGGAGAGAUCCACGAACAGUUCAAACGCAGAACCAUUCUGAUCACUUCUCACAGUUUCCCGUACAUGAAGAAGAGAAUAGAGGUGGUGAAGAAGACAGACUCUGUCCUCCAUCCGAUAGAGGUGGCCAUUGAUGAGAUGCAGAGUAAGGUGGUGGAUAUCAGGGAGGUGGUCAACCUGUCACGGCCCGACCUCAAAAAACUACAGCUCAGGCUCCAGGGCUCCGUCAGUGCUCAGGUCAACGCAGGUCCAAUGGCUUAUGCACAGGCUUUCCUGACCAAAGAGAAAAAGAUGAUGUUCCCCCUAGAGAAAACUGACACAUUGAAAUCAAUAUUUAAGGACUUUGUGUAUGUGUGCUCUGAUGCCUUAGAACUGAACGGUACGCUGAUCACCACGGAACAGAAGGAAUACCACGAGUCUCUGGCGGCGGGAUUCCAGGACAUCGUGGACAAACUCUCAGACAUGUUGGAGGAAAAGUUUUAUAUAUGAGACGAUAUCGAGGAACGUAAGGCGCUCUGUGUCAGACAUCAAGACGACAAAGCCAAAGAUUUUAGCCGGGGAGCAGGGACUCACCCCGAGAGGAUCAGCCGUCUUUAACAUUGUUAGCGCCACCUCGGACUUCAGUUCAGCGUAAACUCCCUUCAAACAACCCGACCUGUGAAAAGGCAAAGGUAUAGGAGUAGAGGAAACUAGAGAACCCAGUAUCAAGUGGUGGUGUAUCGUGCACCGGAGGAUCUUCCAUGUUGAAUCUUUUUUCUUUAUUUUUUUGUGUAUGCAAGAUUUGCACUCAUGUGACAAGGCUUUUGUAAUUGUGAAAAUCAUAUCAUAUUUUGUUUAUCAAUUUUUUUUUCUUUCUAUUUUUACAUUGAUAUACAUAUAAAAGAAUAUUUAAUUGUGAAGAUUUGAAUGGAUGGCCUAAAGAUUUCUUUUUUGGCACCACAGAAUGUCUUUUCAGAUUGUUCAUUUUGUUUUAUAUAUAUAUAAUAUAUAAAUAUAUAUGUGUGCUUCUGUACCAAUAAAACUUAUUACAUGUAUUUAUAUAUCAAAGUGGUACAUAUAUCUUAACAAAUUCCUUAGGGCUAGUUAUGCAUAGAUAAUAUUUUGCUUUUUUUCUACUGAUGUCUGUGUAAGCAAUAAUUUUUUUUGUUGUGUUUGCAUUUGUUAAAUAUGCACUGAGUGAGUAAAUGUGUGUGUGUAGCAUUAACAGGCUUUUAAGCCACUGUGAAUAUAGAUGCACCAGUUAUCUGAUGAAUGUAACAAGACGAACAUAAUGGCCAUUUUUCCUCUGAGUGUCUCGCAGCACUUUUACUGUCUGUGUUAAAAGUAGUUAUUGAACAAAUGAUUUAGUGUAUGUCUCUCUACACAGGAUUCAUAUAAGAUGCAUCACCUAUUUCUCAACGACUGCACACUUCAAAAAUGGCCAGUUAAGACCCAUAUAAAAUGGUAAUUUCAUUUUGCGUAAUCAAUCAGGUGUAACUUUGAGUAAUUUGCUGAAUCUAUUUUACUACACAUUUUAAGAUAGGCAAUAAAAACAUUCUGCUUACAUCUUCUAUCAAUGAAAGGAUUUAAUAGUAGUAGCAGACACUAAAAUGUUACUGUGUGUAAAUGAAAUAUUCUAAAGUUGAUAGUUUUUGAAGUUGAAUGAAUCAAAAGCUCACUCUAGAAUACUCUGUGUAUUGGGGUAAAAACUAUAUAGCUCUAAGGUUCUUUUUUUAUUGCACAACCUUCACAGUUCAGCUUUUAAAUGUGUAAAAUUUCACACAUUAACAAUCACACUUUUUAACUUCUAUGUCCUUUUCAGGAGAUAAAUCUUUCAUUUGCAUGUGCUUGCCUAUUUCUGGCCCAUGUUUUAUGGAUUACAGAUCAGAAGUGUGUUAGAGCGCAGGCAGCCUCGCAUUUAGAGAGAACUGCAAAGCUUCCAUCAUGGUCGCUACCUUUAUAGGUGUGUCAAGUACAGGAAAUGUUCUUUCACUGUUACGAUCUUUUUAUAGAUAAGCGAUACCAUGUAAAGGUUUACUAUGUCGUGUACUUAUCUCGGUAUUUAACUUUACGUAACACACUAUCUCAUUUUCUUUUCUUUUUUUGAAGAAUUUUUAUUACAGUAUUUGUUAAAAACAUGCUAUCAAGAGAGAGCAUGCAUAUAGAGGACUGAAAAUACAACAUUAUGUAAUCGAAGCGGUUCAUAUAGGGUCUUUUGAUGUUUACCAAGUUUGAAUUUUUAUCUGUAUGCAAUUGUAUAGACACACAAUAUCACUUUUGAAUAAAUAAUCAAGCUUUUGUUUUCACAAGGGUAUAUUGUGAGCUCAGAUUCAUCGAUUCAUUGAUCAUCGUGCAGUAGUUAUCAAGUUUUACAGUGCCACUUCUCUCGGUUCUAUUCACCAUGAAUCGACGAACGCAUCAUCAUAAUUAUCUAUAAUUUAGCAAUUUUCCUCUAGAGUAGGGCUGUUCAAUUGACAAUAAUGAUCUAUGUAUAUUUUUUUUUUUCAAAGUAGCUUCAUUAACUCAAGACUUGGAGAAGAUCAGAGGGAUACGUGUUCCUCGACAGUAUCUUCUGAAGACUAUUGAUAACUGUGCGUGUUGUAAUGAAAAUUAUGCAUUUUAAUCUACUGCGACUGUGAUAUCUGUAAUAAUUUCAGUUUUUUGCUUUAUGUGGGCAAUGUAUCACAUUCACUUUAUACUAUGACGUAUUUUGUUGGAAAAUGUACUGAUGAACACUUAAUCAAGUAAAAUCGUGAAACUCUGAAAAAA